ensembl:lncRNA
CCUUCAACUGCAGCAACACUCGCUGGUACUCAAACCUGGCUGGAGGAUUUAUUUAUGUUAAAGCAGGUCAAAAAUUAAAAAAUCGCCUCUCUAUCAUUCUACUGGGAAAAAAAAAAGAAUUACGGACAUUUGAAAACUCCAGUAAAGAAACAACACGUGAGUUAUUUGAUCAUGAAUGUGAGGAAGCAGCUGUGGUCUCUGGCGCGCAUGGUGGUGCCCGGGGCGGGAUUUGCGAUCACCUGCAUCGGGGCCUACGUUGUGUCCCUUCAGACGGACCACAGCAUGAAGAGCAAGAUGUACCAGAGCGGAGGACGCGAGCAGCACCUGCAGAUCUACACUGUUGACAGAAGCUCCUUCCCUCCGUCGUACGAGGAGUCCCAGGCCAGCCAGCCGAGUCCCGAUGCGGCGCCCGAGUUUGAGGUGGCGGUGGUGGUGGACGGGGCGCAUGUGGCGCUGGGCCUCGCUCCUCCUCUCUACAGCCAAGACGCCUCGGAGGCCCCGGACUGCACGUGGAGCUGGGAGCAGCCUCCUCGCUACUGUCAGGUGGAGCGCGUUCAGCAGGGAAACGUGGAUGCGUGAGGCGCAGACGGGGGAGUUGUCACGACGCCGGAGGGAGGAAACGUUUUGCCGAAGUGGCUUGAAGGGAAAGCUGACUGGCGAUGGUUGAUGGGAAUGUGCUGGACAGGACGCUCCAGAAGAACGGGAGGUGCCUUUUGAAUAUGGUACGAAAGAUGGACCAGAUGUGCUGACAUCAGUCUUCACCCUAAACUCUUCGGGCGGACCCUGCAGUACAUUAAGGGCUCUUGAAAGAGGUGAAUUCUUGUGGUGUUGUGCUGAUGUUGGUCGAAUGCUUUUUUGUCUCAGGCCUCGAGCCUGAAAUUGCUGCUUAGUAAAUAACCGAGGAAAGUAUUAAUCCAGCUGGAUCCAUUGACGGUCAGAAAUUACCUUUAUCUGCACUGUAGCAACAAUUUGUACACUAUUAAACUAUUGCAAGUGUAAUACAGCUGCUUGCAUUGGAGUUAAGGGAGCUACCUCUAUUCUGGGGUUAUUUGUAUUAUGUAAAUAAAAAUAGGAAGUUGUUGA